rnacentral:tRNA from 68 species
GGCGGAUGUAGCCAAGUGG